GACGAACGCUGGCGGCGUGCUUAACACAUGCAAGUCGAGCGGUAAGGCCCUUUCGGGGGUACACGAGCGGCGAACGGGUGAGUAACACGUGGGUGACCUGCCCUCAGCUCUGGGAUAAGCCUGGGAAACUGGGUCUAAUACUGGAUAUGACUCCACGGUGCAUGUCGUGGGGUGGAAAGCCUUGUGCGGCUGAGGAUGGGCCCGCGGCCAUCAGCUUGUUGGUGGGGGAUGGCCUACCAAGGCGACGACGGGUAGCCGGCCUGAGAGGGCGACCGGCCACACUGGGACUGAGACACGGCCCAGACUCCUACGGGAGGCAGCAGUGGGGAAUCUUGCGCAAUGGGCGAAAGCCUGACGCAGCGACGCCGCGUGAGGGAUGACGGCCUGG
rnacentral:rRNA from 1 species